rnacentral:rRNA from 1 species
GACGAACGCUGGCGGCGUGCUUAACACAUGCAAGUCGAACGGAAAGGCCCUGCUUUUGUGGGGUGCUCGAGUGGCGAACGGGUGAGUAACACGUGAGUAACCUGCCCUUGACUUUGGGAUAACUUCAGGAAACUGGGGCUAAUACCGGAUAGGAGCUCCUGCUGCAUGGUGGGGGUUGGAAAGUUUCGGCGGUUGGGGAUGGACUCGCGGCUUAUCAGCUUGUUGGUGGGGUAGUGGCUUACCAAGGCUUUGACGGGUAGCCGGCCUGAGAGGGUGACCGGCCACAUUGGGACUGAGAUACGGCCCAGACUCCUACGGGAGGCAGCAGUGGGGAAUAUUGCACAAUGGGCGGAAGCCUGAUGCAGCAACGCCGCGUGCGGGAUGACGGCCUUCGGGUUGUAAACCGCUUUCGCCUGUGACGAAGCGUGAGUGACGGUAAUGGGUAAAGAAGCACCGGCUAACUACGUGCCAGCAGCCGCGGUGAUACGUAGGGUGCGAGCGUUGUCCGGAUUUAUUGGGCGUAAAGGGCUCGUAGGUGGUUGAUCGCGUCGGAAGUGUAAUCUUGGGGCUUAACCCUGAGCGUGCCUUCGAUACGGGUUGACUUGAGGAAGGUAGGGGAGAAUGGAAUUCCUGGUGGAGCGGUGGAAUGCGCAGAUAUCAGGAGGAACACCAGUGGCGAAGGCGGUUCUCUGGGCCUUUCCUGACGCUGAGGAGCGAAAGCGUGGGGAGCGAACAGGCUUAGAUACCCUGGUAGUCCACGCUGUAAACGGUGGGUACUAGGUGUGGGGUCCAUUCCACGGGUUCCGUGCCGUAGCUAACGCUUUAAGUACCCCGCCUGGGGAGUACGGCCGCAAGGCUAAAACUCAAAGGAAUUGACGGGGCCCCGCACAAGCGGCGGAGCAUGCGGAUUAAUUCGAUGCAACGCGUAGAACCUUACCUGGGUUUGACAUGGAUCGGGAGCGCUCAGAGAUGGGUGUGCCUCUUUUGGGGUCGGUUCACAGGUGGUGCAUGGCUGUCGUCAGCUCGUGUCGUGAGAUGUUGGGUUAAGUCCCGCAACGAGCGCAACCCUUGUUCACUGUUGCCAGCACGUUAUGGUGGGGACUCAGUGGAGACCGCCGGGGUCAACUCGGAGGAGGGUGGGGAUGACGUCAAGUCAUCAUGCCCCUUAUGUCCAGGGCUUCACGCAUGCUACAAUGGCUGGUACAGAGAGUGGCGAGCCUGUGAGGGUGAGCGAAUCUCGGAAAGCCGGUCUCAGUUCGGAUUGGGGUCUGCAACUCGACCUCAUGAAGUCGGAGUCGCUAGUAAUCGCAGAUCAGCAACGCUGCGGUGAAUACGUUCCCGGGGCU